UACGUAGGGUGCGAGCGUUAAUCGGAAUUACUGGGCGUAAAGCGUGCGCAGGCGGUUCGUUAAGUCAGCUGUGAAAGCCCUGGGCUCAACCUGGGAAUGGCAUUGGAAACUGGCGACCUAGAGUGCGGUAGAGGGUAGUGGAAUUCCCGGUGUAGCAGUGAAAUGCGUAGAGAUCGGGAGGAACAUCCGUGGCGAAGGCGACUACCUGGACCAGCACUGACACUGAGGCACGAAAGCGUGGGGAGCAAACAGG
rnacentral:rRNA from 1 species